UACAUGGGGUGCAAACGUUGCUCGGAAUUAUUGGGCGUAAAGCGCACGUAGGCGGUCCGUUAAGUCGGAUGUGAAAGCCCCCGGCUCAACCGGGGAAGUGCAUCCGAAACUGGCAGGCUAGAGUACGAAAGAGGGUCGCGGAAUUCCCGGUGUAGAGGUGAAAUUCGUAGAUAUCGAGAGGAACACCGGUGGCGAAGGCGGCCUGCUGGGCAGAUACUGACACUGAGGCGCGACAGCGUGGGGAGCAACAGG
rnacentral:rRNA from 1 species